GAUGAACGCUGGCGGCGUGCCUCAUACAUGCAAGUCGAGCGCAGCGAGGUCGGGUGAGUAACACGUGGAACACCUCCUAUAAGACUGGGAUAACUUCGGGCAACCGGAGCUAAACCGGAUACUUAUAACUGGAUCCUCGCUGCAUUAGCUAGUUGGUAAGGUAACGGCGUCCCAAGGCAACGAUGCAUAGCCGACCUGAGAGGGUGAUCGGCCACACUGGAACGGAGACGCGGAACAGACUCCUACGGGAGGCAGCAGUAGGGAAUCAUCCGAAAGGGGCGAAAGACUGACGGAGCAACGCCGCGUGAGUGAUGAAGGUCUUCGGAUCGUAAAACUCUGUUAUUAGGGAAGCGGUACCUAAUCAGAAAGCCACGGCUAACUACGUGCCAGCAGCCGCGGUAAUUC
rnacentral:rRNA from 1 species